GCGGGAUACACGACGGCGCACGGGUGCGUAACGCGUAUGCACCUGCCUCUGACCGGAGGAUAGCCUCGAGAAAUCGGGAUUAAUACUCCAUAACAUCUAACUACCGCAUGGUAGAAUGAUUAAAACGCCGGUGGUCAGAGAUAGGCAUGCGUGGCAUUAGCUAGUUGGUGAGGUAACGGCUCACCAAGGCAACGAUGCCUAGGGGGUCUGAGAGGACGAUCCCCCACACUGGUACUGAGACACGGACCAGACUCCUACGGGAGGCAGCAGUGAGGAAUAUUGGUCAAUGGGCGCAAGCCUGAACCAGCCAUGCCGCGUGCAGGAUGACGGCUCUAGAAGUUGUAAACUGCUUUUGUAUGGGAAUAAACUGUCCGGUUCUCCGGGCAUUGAAGGUACCAUACGAAUAAGGAUCGGCUAACUCCGUGCCAGCAGCCGCAGUAAUACGGAGGAUCCAAGCGUUAUCCGGAUUUAUUGGGUUUAAAGGGUGUGCAGGCGGAGUAAUAAGUCAGUGGUGAAAUCUUGCGGCUCAAACGUAAAAUUGCCAUUGAUACUG
rnacentral:rRNA from 1 species